GGCCGCUCGACGCGGCCGUGAUGGCCGGACGAAGCGCGCUCACGACCUGCAAGAGCUCGCCACGGAAUCCCCACAUCCACGCUGCCGCCCAGGAAUACCUAUCGCCAUCCAAAGGUGUUCCUUGCAAGAGUGCAAACCAGCCCGUGAGUUCACUGCGGCGGAAUGCUAUGGCAGCUGGUGGGCAUCGUCUUCAAUUCCGUGGGCUUUGGGAAUAAGUGGAUGUGCAGCUGGCUAUGAGGUAGUCAUGGCCGCCGGAUCUGGCUGGCAGUGGCGGCCUUCUUCUUCGACUCGGCAGGUUUAGGGAAUAAGUGGAUGUGCAGCUGGCUAGAAGGUAGUCAUGGCCGCUGGAUCCAGCCAUCUGGCAGCUGUGGCCCUCUUCUUCGAAUUGGCGGGUUUAGGCAGGGGAGGUUGUUGCAGGCUUGGUCUUGUGCGGCUCUGGCCGGUCCACCGCGUCCCUCGCUGACUACAUUUGACUAGCUACUGCUAUCACGAGACUUGAUGGCAUUCCCUCUGUAGUAAUGGACAGAAGAUCAAGACUUGAGUUAAGCAGCUUAAUUAGGACCCGGAAACAGGUAGCGGUGGCCUUUUUGUAUGCCUCUGUGUUUAGGUGAGUUAAUUUGUGGUUCACCCAUUGUAUCGUAUACGUGCUCCAUGGCCAUUGAGCAGCCUGUGACAUGCUAAAUGGUAGUGAUGACUAGGUUUUGGCUAUAAUACAGAUGAGUUGUGCUUGCACGUUUUUUUUUUUUUUUUUUUUUUGCGGGUAGUGCUUGCGCUCUUGAUAUUUGGUAUUCUGAGUGGUUUGAUUGUUGAAUUAUAUACCUGCUGCUGGUGGUACGUACUAGUCAACUUAUUGAUUUCCAGUAAGAUACAUUAAUGGUGGGCUGUUGAAUUUUUGUACCAAAGGAAUAUACUUUCAAUGGUAGAUUACUUUUACCGGCCUGA